rnacentral:lncRNA from 1 species
UAAGAUGUAAGAGAUCAGGGCAAAGAGUAGGACAUUUAAUGAGGAGGGGUAUGCAUAAUCUGGGGAUGACAGUUAACACAUGCAAAGUACCCAGACACAGCCUGUCUCUUAGAAAUGAUGAAAUAAUUAUCAACAGUUCUUUUCCACCACACAUGUUAUUUCCAUUCUUGUGUAACAUUAACUUUGCUCUUGCUCCUUGCCAUAUCAAAUUCUUCCUUUUUGUAAAAAGUCAAUUUUAAAUUCAUUUCUAAUCUUACCCCAAUAAAGUUAUUUUCUUUCUAUGAAAAUCUUAAAUGUGUGUAACCUGCACAGAUUUUCUCACAUGUGAUUCUAUGUUGCUUAUGUAUUUUUCUCAUUCAAGGUACUUUAACAUUGUGAAUGUGCAUGGGUGAGUGUAGAAAGGCAUAUUUCAUGCCUCUAAAACUUUUGGAUGAUUGGCAUCAAGCAUAACAACAACUAAAGCCCAAAGCAGAACAAGAGAGCAGUCAUAAUUUUCAUAACGGAAUUUAUUUCCCUUUGGGAACACUUGCAGAUGUUUAAAUGUCAGGUGUGCUGAUAGCUAUGUUUUCGUAUAUCCACUAAACGAUGCUCUAAGGUAAGUUGGAAAAGGAUGAUCCUCUCUGUGGGAAUGUUUGUUCAAUAUUUCUGAUAUUCAUAUAUUUAUAUUAUAUGUUGUGAAUUUAUUGUCUCUUUCAGUGUAGAUGUUCUCUGAAACUCAUAUAUGUGAUUCAAGAUGAUCAUACUUUUGCCCUCUCUCACACUUCCACCCAUAGUUUCAGGCCCCUGGCCAGGUAGCCAGUUCUUUUGCUGCUAUUAGGACCACUCUUGGAACCAGCUGUCUCAGAUGUAGAGAUGCGGCCUCGCAUGCAACUAUCUUCCUGGCAAGGAAUAAGAAAGGAAGUACUAGAAAGAAUGAAACAGGGAAGGAGGGAAAGCUAAUUCAAGGUACCCUAUUGACCAGGCACGGUGGCUGAUGCCUGUAAUCCCAGCACUUUGGAAGGCCGAG